GGGCUGAAAAAAUGAGAUCAUUUACAUGGAGUCAGACUAUAUAUAGGCAUAUAUUCAGGUCCUUAGUCCUGAGGUUGGUGGAAGGAAGAGCUCUGGUGGGUGGCAUGACCCAGAGUUGCAAAGGCAUGGAAGUACUCAGCUAGUAAAAACCUAUUCACUGUUACAGGAAUGGCUUUCCUAUAAGAAGUGUAUCCAGAAAGGUGCUGAAUACCUGAGCUCUGGAAUUUACAUCUUCAGAAAGUGCUUCAAGGAGGACAAGAGGGAAGAGUGCCAACAGAACUUCAUCACACAUUGGUUAGGCCUCUGCUUAAAAAACCUUCUUUGGAUGUUAACAUGCUCACCCAUUAUCAUUCAAUAUGUCAGUAA
rnacentral:lncRNA from 1 species